rnacentral:rRNA from 1 species
UACAGAGGGGGCAAGCGUUGUUCGGAAUUACUGGGCGUAAAGGGCGCGUAGGCGGCCUUCUAAGUCGAACGUGAAAUCCCUGGGCUCAACCCAGGAACUGCGUCCGAUACUGGAAGGCUUGAAUCCGGGAGAGGGAUGCGGAAUUCCAGGUGUAGCGGUGAAAUGCGUAGAUAUCUGGAGGAACACCGGUGGCGAAGGCGGCAUCCUGGACCGGUAUUGACGCUGAUGCGCGAAAGCCAGGGGAGCAAACGGG